AUUGAACGCUGGCGGCAUGCCUUACACAUGCAAGUCGAACGGUAACAGGUCUUCGGAUGCUUAAGAGUGGCGAAAGGGUGAGUAAUACAUCGGAACGUGCCUAGUAGUGGGGGAUAACUACGCGAAAGAGUGGCUAAUACCGCAUGAGAUCUAGGGAUGAAAGCAGGGGAUCGCAAGACCUUGUGCUACUAGAGCGGUCGAUGGCAGAUUAGGGAGUCGGUGGGAUAAAAGCUUACCAAGCCGACGAUCUGUAGCUGGUCUGAGAGGACGAUCAGCGACACUGGGACUGAGACACGGCCCAGACUCCUACGGGAGGCAGCAGUGGGGAAUUUUGGACAAUGGGCGCAAGCCUGAUCCAGCAAUGCCGCGUGCAGGAUGAAGGCCUUCGGGUUGUAAACUGCUUUUGUACGGAACGAAAAGCCCUGGGUUAAUACCCUGGGGUCAUGACGGUACCGUAAGAAUAAGCACCGGCUAACUACGUGCCAGCAGCCGCCGCCGUAA
rnacentral:rRNA from 1 species